UACGAAGGGGGCUAGCGUUGUUCGGAAUUACUGGGCGUAAAGCGCGCGCAGGCGGUUCUCCAAGUCAGUGGUGAAAGCCCGGAGCUCAACUCCGGAAUUGCCAUUGAAACUGUUGAACUUGAGGACGAGAGAGGUGAGUGGAAUUCCCAGUGUAGAGGUGAAAUUCGUAGAUAUUGGGAAGAACACCGGUGGCGAAGGCGGCUCACUGGCUCGUUUCUGACGCUCAGGCGCGACAGCGUGGGGAUCAAACAGG
rnacentral:rRNA from 1 species